rfam:Oryza brachyantha chromosome 4, whole genome shotgun sequence.
CCAUUCGAUGAUGAAGAUAUGAUGUCUUACAUUCUUGUAGGCCUGGAUGAUGAUUAUGAGCCCGUUGUUUCAUCUCUUGUUGGGCGUACAGAGACUGUCACAUUCUCUGAAUUAUACUCUCAACUAAUGAGCUUUGAAU